UUUUGUCAGUCUGCUGCUGCAGUGUGGAUUAUAUGUGGAUUAUAAACACAUGGGACUCUUGUUUUUUAAGAGGAAACGCUGGUUUGAUACCAACACAAGCUGACAGAGACACCGGACAGACAGAGACACACACAUGCAAGACAUCUUGUUGGACCUGAACGCCAGGCUCGUCUGUGAUUGGCCAGUUAUCAACCGCGAGAAGAAACGGGAAGAAACCCAACUUCAAG